UUCUUUUUUUCAGUGUUAAUUUUAUCAUGAACGCCGCAACACGUGUUUGUGUAGCAGUGACUGUGCUUUGUCUGCUCGCACAAGCUGCCGACACUGAAGACCAGAGCGCCAGACCGAAAGACAACUUUGAUGUGAUGCACCAUUCUUCACAUCCAUCUUGGAGAGACCAGAUUAUGGUGUCUGCCGGAAGUGACGUC